CGGGCGGCAGCAGCAGUCGAGAAUCUUUUACAAUGACCGCAAGGUUGAUAAUGCGACGCCGCGUGAGCGAUGAAGGUCUUCGGAUUGUAAAGCUCUGUCAGCAGGGAAGAACGUAAAUUGGUUAAUACCCAAUUUAUUUGACGGUACCUGCAAAGGAAGCCACGGCUAACUCCGUGCCAGCAGCCGCGGUAAUACGGCGGUGGCAAGCGUUGUUCGGAUUCACGGGGUGUAAAGGACAUGUAGGCGUCUUUUUAAGUCGGAUGUGAAAUCCCUUGGCUCAACUAAGGAACUGCAUCCGAUACUGAAAAGAUUGAGUACGGGAGAGGUAAGCGGAAUUCCGGAAGUAAGGGUGAAAUCUGUAGAUAUCCGGAGGAACACCAUUAGCGAAGGCGGCUUACUGGUCCGAUACUGACGCUGAAAUGUGAAAGCUAGGGGAGCGAACAGGAUUAGAUACCCGGGUAGUC
rnacentral:rRNA from 1 species